rnacentral:rRNA from 1 species
UACGUAGGGACCGAGCGUUGUCCGGAAUCAUUGGGCGUAAAGAGCGUGUAGGCGGCUUGUUAAGUCUUGCGUGAAAUCUCGGGGCUCAACCCCGAGCGGUCGUGAGAAACUGGCAGGCUAGAGUGCGGGAGAGGAGAGUGGAAUUCCUGGUGUAGCGGUGAAAUGCGCAGAUAUCAGGAGGAACACCGGUGGCGAAGGCGGAUCUCUGGGCCGAUACUGACGCUGAGGAGCGAAAGCGUGGGGAGCGAACAGG